rnacentral:rRNA from 1 species
AACGAACGCUGGCGGCAUGCCUAACACAUGCAAGUCGAACGACACCUUCGGGGCGAGUGGCGCACGGGUGCGUAACGCGUGGGAACCUGCCCUUAGGUUCGGAAGAACUCCCCGAAAGGGGUGCUAAUACCGGAAAAUGUCUUCGGACCAAAGAUUUAUCGCCUUUGGAUGGGCCCGCGUUUGAUUAGCUAGUUGGUGGGGUAAAGGCCUACCAAGGCGACGAUCGGUAGCUGGUCUGAGAGGAUGAUCAGCCACACUGGGACUGAGACACGGCCCAGACUCCUGGGGGAGGGAGCAGUGCGGAAUUUUGGAGGAGGGGGGCAAUGGGGAAUCAGGGAAGACGGGUGUAUGAAGAAGGCCUUAGGGCCGGGAAGUACUUUUGUUAGGGAAGAAUAGAAAGCUGUUUAUAAGGGCUGAUAAUGACGGUACCUAGAGAAUAAGCACCGGCUAACUACGUG